GGGGGCUGGCCCCCCGAGAUCGGCUUUCAGGAGCGGGUCUCAAACCAGUCCGAGCUGCUGCGGUAAAGAGCCGUGGUGGUGAGCGUCGGAUCAAAAGUUCGGAUUAAACCGAGCAGGU
rfam:Bradyrhizobium yuanmingense strain BR3267 contig993, whole genome shotgun sequence.